rnacentral:rRNA from 1 species
AUUGAACGCUGGCGGCAGGCCUAACACAUGCAAGUCGAACGAGUGGCGGACGGGUGAGUAAUGUCUGGUAAACUGCCUGAUGGAGGGGGAUAACUACUGGAUACGGUAGCUAAUACCGCAUUCAAUCAUAUGUGCCCAGAUGGGAUUAGUUCGUUGGUGGGGUAACGGCUCACCAAGGCGACGAUCCCUAGCUGGUCUGAGAGGAUGACCAGCCAAACUGGAACUGGGACGCGGUCCAGACUCCUACGAGAGGCAGAAGUGGGGAAUAUUGCACGAUGGGCGCAGGCCUGAUGCAUCCAUGCCGCGUGUAUGAAUAAGGCCUUCGGGUUGUAAAGUACUUUCAGCGGGGAGGCGUUACCCGCAGAAGAAGCACCGGCUAACUCCGUGCCAGCAGCCGCGGUAAUAC